rnacentral:lncRNA from 1 species
AAAUCACUGGUCCUCUCAUGCCAUAUCUCCCUGUACUCAUUCUCUGCAAAUAAAAUCAAUCAUAUUAGCCCUUAAGUUAUAACAAAAUCCAUCAAAUUAGUCCUCAAAUUAUGACAGUAAGUCUCAAAUCGAUCCAGGACAACACAUGUAAUAGAGGGGUAUAAUUGGAAAUACGGGAAAAAUUACACUGAAAAGUUAAAUCUCGAAUUUUUACCAUUUCCAUCAAUUUAGUCCUUGUACACGUGGCAUGCAAGAGGACAC